rnacentral:lncRNA from 1 species
AAUGAAGAUCAUCAAGAAGAAAAUGUGGGUUGAAAUAAAAUUUGAGCCUUAUAUCCUUUGUUUCUUAAACCAUGAACCAAACCACGUUACAACCUUCAAAAGUCCUAAUUAAAGCUAAGUUCACUAUGAAAGUGCCGCGUUGCGAAAAAUACAGAGUCACCACCGGGUUUUAUUUAUUCCAAAGGAAAGGGAAAAUAGCGAUA